AGUGAACGCUGGCGGCGUGCUUAACACAUGCAAGUCGAACGAGAACGGAAUAUAGCUUGCUAUAUUUGUCAGCUAAGUGGCGCACGGGUGAGUAAUGUAUAGAUAACCUGCCCUUAAGAAAGGAAUAACAGUUGGAAACGACUUCUAAUGCCCUAUAUGCCUUUACUACAUAAUUAUGCAAGGGAAACGCUUUAGUGCUUAAGGAUGGGUCUGUAUGGUAUCAGCUUGUUGGUGAGGUAAUGGCUCACCAAGGCUAUGACGCCUAACUGGUUUGAGAGGAUGAUCAGUCACACUGGAACUGAGACACGGUCCAGACUCCUACGGGAGGCAGCAGUGGGGAAUAUUGCACAAUGGACGAAAGUCUGAUGCAGCAACGCCGCGUGGAGGAUGACACAUUUCGGUGCGUAAACUCCUUUUAUAUAGGAAGAUAAUGACGGUACUAUAUGAAUAAGCACCGGCUAACUACGUGCCAGCAGCCGCGGUAA
rnacentral:rRNA from 1 species